rnacentral:rRNA from 1 species
AACGAACGCUGGCGGCAUGCCUAACACAUGCAAGUCGAACGAGACCUUCGGGUCUAGUGGCGCACGGGUGCGUAACGCGUGGGAACCUGCCCUUAGGUUCGGAAUAACUCCCCGAAAGGGGUGCUAAUACCGGAUAAUGUCUUCGGACCAAAGAUUUAUCGCCUUUGGAUGGGCCCGCGUUGGAUUAGCUAGUUGGUAGGGUAAAAGCCUACCAAGGCGACGAUCCAUAGCUGGUCUGAGAGGAUGAUCAGCCACACUGGGACUGAGACACGGCCCAGACGCCUAGGGGGGGCAGCGGGGGGGAAUAUUGGACAGGGGGCGAAAGCCUGAUCCGGCAGUGCCGGGUGGGGGAAGAAGGCUUUAGGGUUGAAAAGCUCUUUUACCCGGGAGGAUAAGGACGGAACCGGGAGAAAAGCCCCGGCCAACCUCCGG